UACGUAGGGGGCUAGCGUUGUCCGGAAUCAUUGGGCGUAAAGAGCGUGUAGGCGGCCCGGUAAGUCCGCUGUGAAAGUCGGGGGCUCAACCCUCGAAUGCCGGUGGAUACUGUCGGGCUAGAGUGCGGAAGAGGCGAGUGGAAUUCCUGGUGUAGCGGUGAAAUGCGUAGAUAUCUGGAGGAACACCGGUGGCGAAGGCGGCUAUCUGGACCGUACUGACGCUGAGGCGCGAAAGCCGGGAGGGAGCAAACGGG
rnacentral:rRNA from 1 species